rnacentral:rRNA from 1 species
GAUGAACGCUGGCGGCGUGCCUAAUACAUGCAAGUCGAGCGAACGGACGAGAAGCUUGCUUUUCUGAUGUUAGCGGCGGACGGGUGAGUAACACGUGGAUAACCUACCUAUAAGACUGGGAUAACUUCGGGAAACCGUAGCUAAUACCGGAUAAUAUUUUGAACCGCAUGGUUCAAAAGUGAAAGACGGUCUUGCUAUCACUUAUAGAUGGAUCGGCGCUGCAUUAGCUAGUUGGUAAGGUAACGGCUUACCAAGGCAACGAUGCAUAGCCGACCUGAGAGGGUGAUCGGCCACACUGGAACUGAGACACGGUCCAGACUCCUCCGGGAGGCAGCAGUAGGGAAUCUUCCGCAAUGGGCGAAAGCCUGCCGGAGCACCGCCGGGUGAGUGAUGAAGGUCUUCGGUUCGUAAACCUCUGUUAUUAGGGAAGACCAUAUGUGUAAGUAACUGUGCACACCUUGACGGUACCUAAUCAGAAAGCCACGGCUAACUACGUG